CACGAGCCGUAUGACCGCCCGCGUGUUUUGAGGCACAUGAGUUCAUCGCAGGAACGCGUACAAGAUUCUGCCAGCACACACCAUGUGCAUGACAUCAUCAAGCCGGCACCGCUAGUCCUUCAACAUCGAAACGCUGACGGCCCGCCUCCGGUGACCACGGUGAAACCCAGCGAAGUGAAAUGGCGUAAGCCACUCUGCGGGAUCGGCCAUGUAUCGGGCGGUGAAGGAACCGUAACAUGUACCGAAGAGUAAACACAGGUAUUCAGACUACGUGGCGCACAUAUCACAUUCCGGACACGUCGCAAGAUGCUUACUUUCCCCCCAUGAUAUCCCUGAGCCCAAGUGCAUCAAGGAGGCCAGCGGAGCCUAAACCGAAAGCCGGGUGGGUUCACAUUUUAAUCAAGCAUGGUCCGUCGUUCUCCCAGCUUUACCGCAUAACUCAGCGUCUUGUACGAAGUCCACGGGGUUCCUGGCACAGGAGUAGGACUCCGUCCAUGUCCGGUACACCUGUCCGGUAGACCGCUGACCAAAUCCCCGCCUGGCCAAAACGAUGUUUCCUGUGUUUCCUGUCUGGCCGAAUUUCCGGACAGGUCAACAUGAGAUGCUGGACAUCCACGUGGUCCGCCGGGGCCGUGCAAGGAGGGCAUGCUUGAGAGAUUCGCUUAAAUGAAACAAAAUAUUGCGCAAUGAAUGUUGCGUGUUAUGGCAGUCAGCCUAGCGUAAAGAGCAAGAAAUAAAGAAGUACUUGAAGAUAAUAAUUAGGGUAAAUCGAAGGAUUGAAGUCUCUCGCCGAUUCUAAAUUCUUUCUUUAUUUUAUAAUUUGUCUCUUCUGUAUUUGAAUUGUAUCAUUUGAUCAAGGAUAAAUA